GUUAACAAAGGUAUGCUUAAUGUGCAGCCUUUUCUCCCUCGUAUACCAGUUCAUCCAGAGGGGCAGAAAGUAUUUGCCGUUGCAAUCUCCUAGGUGCUGGCUGCUAUCUGUGAGCGUUGAAUAACUGAGUUUGGUCAUGAGAUUGAGCACUGAGACUUGGUAACUGGUUUACUACACUGGACUUCCACUAAAGGCUGGGCCUGUGUAGGUGAUCCCUGUGGGGUGGCACAAGCUGUGUGGUGUGUAUCAAACGGUUGGCACUGUAGCGGUGCCUGCAAGAUUGGUUUGGUUGCAGUGCAUGCUGUGGAUGUUCUUUCUUCUUGCAUGUGAGCAGGCCCAACCCUUCCUGGAGUCUUGAGGAGAGUUUUGUUUUUAUUCUAAUGGUUUUUUACUAUUGAUGCAGAUGUUUCAAGUCUGAGGGUCUAUGCUAAGACAAUAAAGUUGAGAUUUUAUAUA